CGGGAAUUUUGGGCAAUGGGCGAAAGCCUGACCCAGCAACGCCGCGUGAAGGAUGAAGUAUUUCGGUAUGUAAACUUCGUAAGAAUGGGAAGAAUAAAUGACGGUACCAUUUGUAAGCUCCGGCUAACUACGUGCCAGCAGCCGCGGUAAUACGUAGGGAGCUAGCGUUGUUCGGAAUUACUGGGCGUGAAGCGCACGUAGGCGGCUUUGUAAGUUAGAGGUGAAAGCCCGGGGCUCAACUCCGGAACUGCCUUUAAGACUGCAUCGCUAGAAUUGUGGAGAGGUAAGUGGAAUUCCGAGUGUAGAGGUGAAAUUCGUAGAUAUUCGGAAGAACACCAGUGGCGAAGGCGACUUACUGGACACAUAUUGACGCUGAGGUGCGAAAGCGUGGGGAGCAAA
rnacentral:rRNA from 1 species